rnacentral:rRNA from 1 species
CCAAUAGCGUAUAUUAAAGUUGUUGUGGUUAAAAAGCUCGUAGUUGAACCUUGGGCCUGGCUGGCCGGUCCGCCUCACCGCGUGUACUGGUCCGGCCGGGCCUUUCCCUCUGUGGAACCCCAUGCCCUUCACUGGGCGUGGCGGGGAAACAGGACUUUUACUGUGAAAAAAUUAGCGUGCUCCAGGCAGGCCUAUGCUCGAAUACAUUAGCAUGGAAUAAUAGAAUAGGACGUGUGGUUCUAUUUUGUUGGUUUCUAGGACCGCCGUAAUGAUUAAUAGGGACAGGCGGGGGCAUCAGGAUUCAAUUGGCAGAGGUGAAAUUCUUGGAUUUAUUGAAGACUAACUACUGCGAAAGCAUUUGCCAAGGAUGUUUUCAUUAAUCAGGAACGAAAGUUAGGGGAUCGAAGACGAUCAGAUACCGUCGUAGUCUUAACCAUAAACUAUGCCGACUAGGGAUCGGAAGGUGUUAUUUUUUGACCCGUUCGGCACCUUACG